rnacentral:misc_RNA from 1 species
GGAAAAGUUAACAUCACUAUCAAAUGAUAAUUAGUGGAUUACGUAAAGAAAAGUAGCUUUCCUUUUUCCUUUUAAAUCAUUGAUAUGGGAUGCACACCCAUUAUAACUAUAACUUAAAAUACGCACACAUUAUAUAAAUAUAUGAACCCAUGAAGGGAGAACAUAGCAGGAAGAUUAUAAUCCUCCUAUGGUUUUACAGCACAAAGUAAAAAAAGCUUAAACUUAUGGAGGCAAUAGCAUACCCCAUAUUACAUGUUAAUUAUUUAGGAUGGCAAGAACACCAUUUAUUUAUUUAUUUCCCCCCACAAACGAUUAGAAACUUCAAACUUUCUACCUAACAACAUACCCUAGAUUGUAAGCAUAUUUAACGAGGUCGUCUAUCUCUGACAAGUCCACUGCUCCAUCACCGUUGGCAUCAGCAACUUUCAUUGCUUGACGGGCCUUUUGACCAGGGAACAUAGCACCAAGAUAUUGGAAAGCUUGUCUGAUCUCUUCUCUGCUAAGAACAUUGUCAUGAUUCAGAUCGAACCGCAUGAAAAUUUGCCUCACUUGUUCUUCAGUGAAGGGAACAGGAGCAGCUUUGUAGUUGUGCACAGGGAAUGGAUUCCAGGGAACAUAACUUGGACGUGGUGGUGGAGGUGGAUUGUUUGGAAACCAAGCACCUUGUGGAGCAGGAGGACAUGGUAGCGGUGGAGGUGACCAGUUAGCACCAGCUGCUGGCCUCUCCGGAUAAAUUGGCGGAUUGUUUGGGGAAUAAAAAGCAGUAUAAUUUUGAUCUUGGGGAUACCAAAGAGGAGGACAAUACAUGAUUUCAGGUGCUGAGGAAGAGGGCCUAAAACAGGUUUUAUGUUUGUAGUUUUCUUGAACUUGCGAUC